rnacentral:rRNA from 1 species
UACGUAGGGUGCGAGCGUUGUCCGGAUUUAUUGGGCGUAAAGAGCUCGUAGGCGGUUUGUCGCGUCGGCCGUGAAAUCUCCACGCUUAACGUGGAGCGUGCGGUCGAUACGGGCAGACUUGAGUUCGGUAGGGGAGACUGGAAUUCCUGGUGUAGCGGUGAAAUGCGCAGAUAUCAGGAGGAACACCGGUGGCGAAGGCGGCUCACUGGCCCGGUACUGACGCUGAGGAGCGAAAGCGUGGGGAGCGAACAGG